rnacentral:rRNA from 1 species
UACGUAGGGUGCAAGCGUUAAUCGGAAUUACUGGGCGUAAAGCGUGCGCAGGCGGUUGUGUAAGUCUGACGUGAAAUCCCCGGGCUCAACCUGGGAAUUGCGUUGGAGACUGCAAGGCUAGAAUCUGGCAGAGGGGGGUAGAAUUCCACGUGUAGCAGUGAAAUGCGUAGAGAUGUGGAGGAACACCGAUGGCGAAGGCAGCCCCCUGGGUCAAGAUUGACGCUCAUGCACGAAAGCGUGGGGAGCAAACAGG